AAAGGAAUAGACGGGGGCCCGCACAAGCGGUGGAGCAUGUGGUUUAAUUCGAAGCUACGCGAAGAACCUUACCAGGGCUUGACAUCCCCUGACCGUCGUGGAAACACGACUUCUCUUCGGAGCAGGGAGACAGGUGGUGCAUGGUUGUCGUCAGCUCGUGUCGUGAGAUGUUGGGUUAAGUCCCGCAACGAGCGCAACCCCUACUCUGUGUUGCCAGCAUUUAAAGAUGGGGACUCACAGAGGACUGCCGGUGACAAACCGGAGGAAGGUGGGGAUGACGUCAAAUCAUCAUGCCCCUUAUGUCCUGGGCUACACACGUGCUACAAUGGCCGGCACAGACGGACGCCAACCCGCGAGGGGGAGCCGAUCCGAUAAAACCGGUCUCAGUUCGGAUUGCAGGCUGCAACUCGCCUGCAUGAAGUCGGAAUCGCUAGUAAUCGCAGGUCAGCAUACUGCGGUGAAUACGUUCCCGGGCCUUGUACACACCGCCCGU
rnacentral:rRNA from 1 species